CGAACGCUGGCGGCGUGCUUAACACAUGCAAGUCGAACGGAAAGGCCUUGCUUUUGUGGGGUGCUCGAGUGGCGAACGGGUGAGUAACACGUGAGUAACCUGCCCUUGACUUUGGGAUAACUUCAGGAAACUGGGGCUAAUACCGGAUAGGAGCUCCUGCUGCAUGGUGGGGGUUGGAAAGUUUCGGCGGUUGGGGAUGGACUCGCGGCUUAUCAGCUUGUUGGUGGGGUAGUGGCUUACCAAGGCUUUGACGGGUAGCCGGCCCGAGAGGGUGACCGGCCACAUUGGGACUGAGAUACGGCCCAGACUCCUACGGGAGGCAGCAGUGGGGAAUAUUGCACAAUGGGCGGAAGCCUGAUGCAGCAACGCCGCGUGCGGGAUGACGGCCUUCGGGUUGUAAACCGCUUUCGCCUGUGACGAAGCGUGAGUGACGGUAAUGGGUAAAGAAGCACCGGCUAACUACGUG
rnacentral:rRNA from 1 species